rnacentral:rRNA from 1 species
UGGGUAGGGGAGCGUUCUGUAAGCCGCAGAAGGUGGCCUGUGAGGGCUGCUGGAGGUAUCAGAAGUGCGAAUGCUGACAUAAGUAACGAUAAAGCGGGUGAAAAACCCGCUCGCCGGAAGACCAAGGGUUCCUGUCCAACGUUAAUCGGGGCAGGGUGAGUCGACCCCUAAGGCGAGGCCGACAGGCGUAGUCGAUGGGCAACAGGUUAAUAUUCCUGUACCCGGUGUGACUGCGAAGGGGGGACGGAGAAGGCCAGGCCAGCCGGGCGACGGUCGUCCCGGUUGAAGCGUGUAGGUGGGUGGUUUUGGAAAAUCCGGACCGCUGAUAACACUGAGGCGUGAUAACGAGGCACUACGGUGCUGAAGUGGUUGAUGCCCUGCUUCCAGGAAAAGCCUCUAAGCAUCAGGUCACAUUGGAUCGUACCCCAAACCGACACAGGUGGUCAGGUAGAGAAUACUCAGGCGCUUGAGAGAACUCGGGUGAAGGAACUAGGCAAAAUGGUGCCGUAACUUCGGGAGAAGGCACGCUGGCGCCAGGUGAAGGAACGAGCUUCCGGAGCCGAGGCCAGUCGCAGAUACCAGCUGGCUGCAACUGUUUAAUAAAAACACAGCACUGUGCAAACACGUAAGUGGACGUAUACGGUGUGACGCCUGCCCGGUGCUGGAAGGUUAAUUGAUGGGGUUAUCGCGUUGCGAGAAGCUCUUGAUCGAAGCCCCAGUAAACGGCGGCCGUAACUAUAACGGUCCUAAGGUAGCGAAAUUCCUUGUCGGGUAAGUUCCGACCUGCACGAAUGGCGUAAUGAUGGCCAGGCUGUCUCCACCCGAGACUCAGUGAAAUUGAACUCGCUGUGAAGAUGCAGUGUACCCGCGGCAAGACGGAAAGACCCCGUGAACCUUUACUAUAGCUUGACACUGAACCUUGAGCCUUGAUGUGUAGGAUAGGUGGGAGGCCUGGAAGUGCGGACGCCAGUCUGCACGGAGCCAACCUUGAAAUACCACCCUUGAAUGUUUGAUGUUCUAACGCAGGCCCGUGAUCCGGGUUGCGGACAGUGUCUGGUGGGUAGUUUGACUGGGGCGGUCUCCUCCCAAAGCGUAACGGAGGAGCACGAAGGUUAGCUAAUCACGGUCGGACAUCGUGAGGUUAGUGCAAUGGCAUAAGCUGGCUUGACUGCGAGAGUGACAGCUCGAGCAGGUGCGAAAGCAGGUCAUAGUGAUCCGGUGGUUCUGCAUGGAAGGGCCAUCGCUCAACGGAUAAAAGGUACUCCGGGGAUAACAGGCUGAUACCGCCCAAGAGUUCAUAUCGACGGCGGUGUUUGGCACCUCGAUGUCGGCUCAUCACAUCCUGGGGCUGAAGCAGGUCCCAAGGGUACGGCUGUUCGCCGUUUAAAGUGGUACGCGAGCUGGGUUUAGAACGUCGUGAGACAGUUCGGUCCCUAUCUGCCGUGGGCGCUGGAAGAUUGAAAGGGGCUGCUCCUAGUACGAGAGGACCGGAGUGGACGCACCACUGGUGUUCGGGUUGUCAUGCCAAUGGCACUGCCCGGUAGCUACGUGCGGAAGAGAUAACCGCUGAAAGCAUCUAAGCGGGAAACUUGCCUUGAGAUGAGUCUUCCCUUGUCCUU